rnacentral:lncRNA from 1 species
CUCCCAGUAUUUCAAUUAGGUUAAAUAACUUUUACAGAUUUUUCAGAUCGAAUAUUUUUUUGUAUACUGACGUUGAUAACAUUAUCCGUGACAAUUUGUAGGCGAAGUGUACAAUUGAUCUUAAAACAGGAAGUGGGAAUGUUGGUGGAAGCACAAUUAUCUAUACAUGAUUCAGUUGGUUGUGGGAAGGAGACGGUCAUACGUUACACAGUUUGAAAAUGGCUGAGAGGCGUUUUGCAUUUUUGAUGUUUUAUAGUUUUUUUCACUAUGCAAUAACAAUUUGAUGGACUAUGAGUUUUUUCUAAAUCCUAAAUAUAAUUAUAAAAUGAUUAUUUGCAGCAAAUUUUCUACUUUCGAUGAAGAAUUACAGAUUCGUUACAGAACAGAAAUGUGUAGUUUGUAAAAUUUGUGUUUUUUUGUAAAAUUGUUUGUUUUAAGAUUGUAACACAGAGAUCACUGUUGUAUCCAUAUUUUGACUAUUUUAAUUAUUAUGUCUGUUUUCCUCACGCAUCGUUGUAAAUAUAACGGAAUUUGAUGAGACUGUCGUAAAAGUGAGAGGUUUAGCGCUAUAAAACCAGUUUCAAUCCAUUUUUUCUACAUUGAAAAUGCCUGUACCAAAUAAGGAAUAUGGCAGUUGUUGUUCAUUCGUUUGAUGUGUUUUGUCAUUUGAUUUUGCCAUGUGAUUAGGGACUUUCCGAUUGAAUUUUCCUCGGAGUUCAGUAUUUUUGUGAUUUUACCUUUUUGCUACAUGGAACAGAGGGUAUGCUGAUAAGGAUUACAUUUCAAAUGUUAGAAGCCAACAGUUGAUCCCUUGAUAUUUGGUUCACGUGGUAUUUAACUAGGCUAUCUACAUGAGACAACGGAUUCACCAGGAGCAGAGUACAAUAUAAGACAUUAUUUUAGACAUCAUAAAAAAGCAACAUGAAGGGACGACCAUUUGAUAUUCUAGU